rnacentral:rRNA from 1 species
AGAGUUUGAUCCUGGCUCAGGAUGAACGCUAGCGGCAGGCUUAACACAUGCAAGUCGAGGGGCAACGCGAGUAGCAAUACUUGGCGGCGACCGGCGCAAGGGUGCGUAACGCGUGAGCAACAUGCCCGUAUCAGGGGGAUAAUCCAGGGAAACUUGGUCUAAUACCCCAUAGUAAUUUUGUAAGGCAUCUUAUAAGAUUUAAAGCUUUGGUGGAUACGGAUUGGCUCGCGUGACAUUAGCUGGAUGGUAAGGUAACGGCUUACCAUGGCUAUGAUGUCUAGGGGUUCUGAGAGGAAGGUCCCCCACACUGGAACUGAGACACGGUCCAGACUCCUACGGGAGGCAGCAGUGAGGAAUAUUGGACAAUGGAUGGAAAUCUGAUCCAGCCAUGCCGCGUGAAGGAAGAAGGUCCUAUGGAUUGUAAACUUCUUUUGUAUGGGAGCAAUAAGGCCUACGUGUAGGCUGAUGAGAGUACCAUACGAAUAAGCACCGGCUAACUCCGUGCCAGCAGCCGCGGUAAUACGGAGGGUGCAAGCGUUAUCCGGAUUUAUUGGGUUUAAAGGGUGCGUAGGCGGUUAUUUAAGUCAGUGGUGAAAGUUUUCGGCUCAACCGGAAAAUUGCCAUUGAUACUGGGUAGCUAGAAUAUGGUUGCUGUGAGUAGAAUGUGUGGUGUAGCGGUGAAAUGCAUAGAUAUCACACAGAAUACCGAUUGCGAAGGCAUCUCACAAAGCCAUCAUUGACGCUGAGGCACGAAAGUGUGGGGAUCAAACAGGAUUAGAUACCCUGGUAGUCCACACUGUAAACGAUGAUAACUAGCUGUUGGCGAUACACAGUCAGUG